rnacentral:rRNA from 1 species
UACGUAGGUGGCAAGCGUUUGUCCGGAUUUAUUGGGUUUAAAGGGUGCGUAGGCGGCCCUGUAAGUCAGUGCUGAAAUAUCCCGGCUUAACCGGGAGGGUGGCAUUGAUACUGCGGGGCUAGAGUACAGAUGAGGUAGGCGGAAUUGACGGUGUAGCGGUGAAAUGCUUAGAUAUCGUCAAGAACACCUAUAGCGAAGGCAGCUUACUAGGCUGUAACUGACGCUGAGGCACGAAAAGUGUGGGGGAUCAAACAGG